rnacentral:rRNA from 1 species
UACGUAGGGCGCAAGCGUUGUCCGGAAUUAUUGGGCGUAAAGAGCUCGUAGGCGGUUUGUCGCGUCUGGUGUGAAAACUCAAGGCUCAACCUUGAGCUUGCAUCGGGUACGGGCAGACUAGAGUGCGGUAGGGGAGACUGGAAUUCCUGGUGUAGCGGUGGAAUGCGCAGAUAUCAGGAGGAACACCGAUGGCGAAGGCAGGUCUCUGGGCCGCAACUGACGCUGAGGAGCGAAAGCGUGGGGAGCGAACAGG